rnacentral:rRNA from 1 species
AUUGAACGCUGGCGGCAGGCCUAACACAUGCAAGUCGAACGAGUGGCGGACGGGUGAGUAAUGUCUGGGAAACUGCCUGAUGGAGGGGGAAAACUACGGGAAACGGUAGCUAAUACCGCAUACCAUCGGAUGUGCCCAGAUUGGAUUAGCUAGUCGGUGGGGUAACGGCUCACCUAGGCGACGAGGCCUACCUGGUCUGAGAGGAUGACCGGCCACACUGGGACUGAGACACGGUCCAGACUCCUACGGGAGGCAGCAGGAGGGAAUAUUGCACAAUGGGCGCAAGCCUGAUGCAGCCAUGCCGCGUGUAUGAAGAAGGCCUUCGGGUUGUAAAGUACUUUCAGCGGGGAGGCGUUACCCGCAGAAAAAGCCCCGGCUAACUCCGUGCCAGCAGCCGCGGUAAUUC